GAGUUUGAUUAUGGCUCAGGAUGAACGCUGGCGGCAUGCCUAACACAUGCAAGUUGAACGAGAAGUUCUGGAAGGAGUCUUCGGACGAACGAAGGGAUGGAAAGUAGCGAACGGGUGAGUAACGCGUGGGCAACCAACCUUACACAGGGGGAUAACGCAGAGAAAUUUGCGCUAAUACCGCAUAAGCGCACAGUACCGCAUGGUACGGUGUGAAAAACUCCGGUGGUGUAAGACGGGCCCGCGUCUGAUUAGCUAGUUGGUAGGGUAAGAGCCUACCAAGGCGACGAUCAGUAGCCGACCUGAGAGGGUGAUCGGCCACAUUGGGACUGAGACACGGCCCAAACUCCUACGGGAGGCAGCAGUGGGGGAUAUUGCACAAUGGAGGGAACUCUGAUGCAGCAAUGCCGCGUGAAGGAAGACGGUUUUCGGAUUGUAAACUUCUAUCAGCAGGGAAGAAAAUGACG
rnacentral:rRNA from 1 species